AGUGAACGCUGGCGGUAGGCCUAACACAUGCAAGUCGAACGGCAGCACAGUAAGAGCUUGCUCUUACGGGUGGCGAGUGGCGGACGGGUGAGGAAUACAUCGGAAUCUACUUUUUCGUGGGGGAUAACGUAGGGAAACUUACGCUAAUACCGCAUACGUCCUACGGGUGAAAGCAGGGGAUCUUCGGACCUUGCGCGAUUGAAUGAGCCGAUGUCGGAUUAUCUAGUUGGCGUGGUAAAGUCCCACCAAGGCGACGAUCCGUAGCUGGUCUGAGAGGAUGAACAGCCACACUGGAACUGAAGCACGGUCCCGACACCUACGGGAGGCAGCAGUGGGGAAUAUUGGAGGAGGGGGGCAAGCCUGAUCCAGCCAUACCGCGUGGGUGAAGAAGGACUUAGGGUUGUAGAGCCCUUUUGUUGGGAAAGAAAAGCAGCAGGUUAAUACCGCGAGGUUCUGACGGUACCCAAAGAAUAAGCACCGGCUAACUUCGUG
rnacentral:rRNA from 1 species